UCAUCUGGAGAAACCUUCGGUUGCAAUCAAAUGAACUUCGAAGAGCUUUUUUUCUACGGAACUUCGAAGGGUAAUUAAUGUAAAACCUCAAAAUUCAAGAACAAACGAGAGGAAUAAAA